rnacentral:miRNA from 1 species
AUUGGUGUAAAAGUAAUUGCAGGUUAUUCCAUUAAAAGUAAUGGUAAAAACUGCAAUUACUUUUACAUUAAC